rnacentral:rRNA from 1 species
CAGUAGCCGCGGUAAGACAGAGGAUGCAAGCGUUAUCCGGAAUGAUUGGGCGUAAAGCGUCUGUAGGUGGCUUUUCAAGUCCGCCGUCAAAUCCCAGGGCUCAACCCUGGACAGGCGGUGGAAACUACCAAGCUGGAGUACGGUAGGGGCAGAGGGAAUUUCCGGUGGAGCGGUGAAAUGCGUAGAUAUAUGGAGGAACACCAGUGGCGAAGGCGACUCUCUGGUCUGUAACUGACGCUGAGGAGCGAAAGCGUGGGGAGCGAACAGGAUUAGAUACCCGCGUAGUCCCUGUCUCUUAUAC